rnacentral:rRNA from 1 species
UACGUAGGGGGCAAGCGUUGUCCGGAUUUAUUGGGCGUAAAGAGCGUGUAGGCGGCCAGGUAGGUCAGCUGUGAAAACUCGAGGCUCAACCUCGAGACGUCGGUUGAAACCAUCUGGCUAGAGUCCGGAAGAGGAGAGUGGAAUUCCUGGUGUAGCGGUGAAAUGACGCAGAUAUCAGGAGGAACACCUAUUGCGAAGACAGCUCGCUGGGACGUUACUGACGCUGAGACGCGAAAGCGUGGGGAGCAAACAGG